rnacentral:rRNA from 1 species
GCGUGCCUACACAUGCAAGUCGAACGAGAAAGUGGAGCAAUCCAUGAGUAAAGUGGCGACCGGGUGAGUAACACGUGACUAACCUACCUCCGAGUGGGGAAUAACUCCGGGAAACCGGGGCUAAUACCGCAUAACAUCGCAAGAUCAAAGCAGCAAUGCGCUUGGAGAGGGGGUCGCGGCUGAUUAGCUAGUUGGCGGGGUAACGGCCCACCAAGGCGAAGAUCGGUAUCCGGCCUGAGAGGGCGCACGGACACACUGGAACUGAAACACGGUCCAGACUCCUACGGGAGGCAGCAGUGGGGAAUUUUGCGCAAUGGGGGAAACCCUGACGCAGCAACGCCGCGUGGAGGAUGAAGCCCUUUGGGGCGUAAACUCCUUUCGACUCGGACGAUGAUGACGGUACGAGUGGAAGAAGCACCGGCUAACUCUGUGCCAGCAGCCGCGGUAAUACAGAGGGUGCGAGCGUUGUUCGGAAUUAUUGGGCGUAAAGGGCGCGUACGCGGUGCGGUAAGUCACCUGUGAAAUCUCCUGGCUUAACUGGGAGUCUGCAG